GCCCAGACUCCUACGGGAGGCAGCAGUGAGGAAUAUUGGUCAAUGGCCGAGAGGCUGAACCAGCCAAGUCGCGUGAGGGAAGACGGCCCUACGGGUUGUAAACCUCUUUUGUCGGGGAGCAAAGCGAACCACGUGUGGUUCAUUGAGAGUACCCGAAGAAAAAGCAUCGGCUAACUCCGUGCCAGCAGCCGCGGUAAUACGGAGGAUGCGAGCGUUAUCUGGAUUUAUUGGGUUUAAAGGGUGCGCAGGCGGAAGAUCAAGUCAGCGGUAAAAUUGAGGGGCUCAACCUCUGCGAGCCGUUGAAACUGGUUUUCUUGAGUGAGCGAGAAGUAUGCGGAAUGCGUGGUGUAGCGGUGAAAUGCAUAGAUAUCACGCAGAACUCCGAUUGCGAAGGCAGCAUACCGGCGGCGAUCUGACGCUGAGGCACGAAAGCGUGGGUAUCGAACAGGAUUAGAUACCCUAGUA
rnacentral:rRNA from 1 species